GUGCACAAGCAGAGCACUGCCACGCGAGGAUCCGCGGCCGGCCGACCUGCACGUCUCUGUACAAGCACAGCAAGGGAAACUCCCUCUGUUGGCCCUGACGGCCGCGUCCAAUACUAUCCACUAGGGAAUUGCACAUGUGGAAUAAGUUAUGGGCAAGGAAGAACACGAGUUGCAAUGAUUCAUUCUCUCAAUCCACCAAGAAUUCAGUUUUCUGGUAGAAGCUUCCGCAUGGGGAUGACAGAAAAUUAACCCUAAUAAAGACGAUCUAGGAGGAUAUCCAAAGAAGUAAGUUCAUAUUCCAUAAUGUUAUGUCCCACUCUUCUCUAUUUUAGCCAAGAGUAUUUGGAAUAUACUUAUCCAUCGACAGUUUUAGAGGCUAUCCGAAAAUGAUCUCUGUCUCAUGUGUGAGCGUAUCAGGCUAUCCGAAAAAUCAUGUAUGUCUCAUGUGUGAGCGUAUCAAAAUUUUACAGUCGCUUGA